rnacentral:rRNA from 1 species
AUGGCGCAUCUGCGGCUCCACGGCACCAUCAAUGCUACCAUCCUGGGGGCCGACAACAUCCACGAUCGCUCCCGCCACACCGGCAUCGUCCCCAGCUUCCUCGGCAAUAUUGUGCAAGGUGUCCAGGAAACGACGAGUCUCGGCAAGGGCCUGUCGCGGAUGUACGCGGCCAUCUACCUCGGUAGCGCGUGCAUCGCCCGGACGCGUACCAUCGCCGUCCCUGCAGCCGGAAGCGCGCGAUGGAACGAGCCACUCCGCGCUUACUGCGCCCACCACGCCGCCGACGUCGUCAUCUCCGUCAUGAUCGAGCAGCUCGGCCUCAACGACGACACGGUCCUCGGCCGCGCCUACCUGCCCGCCCGGGAGCUCCUCAAUGCCAAUGGCACAACAAUCGACCGCUGGUUCGAUGUCCUUGGCACGGACAGGAACAAGCUCCCCGACGGGCCCAAGAUACACGUCCAGAUCAGCUUCCGCGAUGUCGCUGACCAAGGCCUGGCGUGGGGCGGCGGCGUCGGCGAUGGCGUGGUGCCCCACACCUUCUUCUCCCAGAGGCCGGGCUGCAGGGUCACCCUGUACCAGGACGCGCACGCGUCUGCGGAGUUCGACCCCAAGAUCCGGCUCGACGGCGGCGGGCUCUACAAGCCCGGGCGCUGCUGGGAAGACAUAUACGACGCCAUCAGCAACGCACGGCACCUGGUCUACAUCACCGCCUGGUCCAUGUUCCCCCACAUCACGCUGGUUCGGGAGCGGGACGGCCGGCAGGAAACCCUCGGCGAGCUCCUGAAGCGCAAGGCCGGCGAGGGCGUGCACGUGCUCCUGCUCGUGUGGAACGACAUCUCCUCCAUUGAUGGCCUGCACGAGGUCGGCGUCAUGGACACAAGGGACCAGCUCACGGCCAAGUACUUCCGCGGCAGCCGCGUGCAGUGCGUCCUCUGCCCGAGGAACUGGUCCGUCAGAGGCUACAUCUUGGACGCCAAGACGCCUGUCGACACGGUCGUUUACAGCCACCACCAGAAGGCCAUCACCGUCGACCAGGAGCUACCUGCUUCGUCGGGGUCGGACGGGCGCCGCCAGAUCGUCAGCUUCCUCGGCGGCCUCGACGUGUGCAACGGCCGCUACGACACGCAGUCCCACUCCCUGUUCAGGACGCUGGGCACGGGGCAGGCGCACAGCAACGACUUCAGCCAAAUCAACUUCAGCGACGAGGCCGCGACGCUCGACAAGGGCGGGCCCAGGACGCCAUGGCACGACAUCCACGCCAAGGUCGAGGGCGCCGCGGCGUGGGACGUGCUCCACAACUUCGAGCAGCGGUGGAGCAAACAAGGCGGCGGCAAGGAGCACCUGGUCGACCUUGUGGCCCUCGAGGGCAAGGUUGCGCCGUCCUCGUGGCCGGUGACGCUUCCCGGCGACCAGGAGGCGUGGAACGUGCAGCUGUUCCGGUCCAUCGACAGCAUCUCCACCGUCGGCUUCCCCGACUCCAUGGAGGAUGCCUAUGAGGCCGGCCUCAUCCAAGACAAGCAUCGAAUCCCCAGAGAGCUAUCGCUCAAGAUCGUGAGCAAGAUCGAGGCCGGCGAACGCUUCGCUGUGUACGUCGUGGUGCCCAUGUGGUCGGAAGGCACCCCUACUGGGCGAUACAGGCAGGCGAUGCUGGACAACCAGAGGAGGACAAUGGCCCUGAUGUACGACGACAUCGCCGUUGCGCUGCAGGCCAAGAAGAUCGACGCCGACCCCAGGGACUACCUUACCUUCUUCUGCUUAGGGAACCGGGAGGCCAAGAGCGAGGGCGAGCACCUGCCCGCGAAACACCCAAAGGACGGGACGGACUAUGCCAGGGCGCAGAAGGCACGCCGGUUCAUGAUCUACGUUCACUCCAAGAUGAUGAUAGUUGACGACGAGUACAUCGUCGUGGGAUCUGCCAACCUCAACGAGCGGUCCAUGGCGGGGGACAGGGACAGCGAGAUAGCCAUUGGCGCGUUCCAGCCACACCGUGUAAACACCGAUGCCGAGCUCGCCAAGGGGCACGUCCAUGGCUUCCGGAUGUCGCUGUGGCACGAGCACCUCGGCAAGACGCACGACGACUUCCUCCGCCCGGGGAGCCUAGAGUGCGUCCGGAGGGUCAACAAGAUGGCCGAUGAGUACUGGAACCUCUACGUCGGCGACCAGCAGCUCACGGACGACCUCCCAGGCCACCUGCUCACCUACCCCGUCGCCGUAAGCAAGGCCGGCACGGUCUCGACGCUCAAGGGCUUUGAAUUCUUCCCUGACACGAAAGCUCCCGUGCUUGGUAAGCCGACUGGAAUAAAUGACUAUUUUAUGAGCAUAUAG